UCAGCCAUGGUUUUUCAGUUGAGGCUGGACAAAAGACCUCUCGAUACCUUCAUUUCUUCAGAUGCAAAAUAGAGUAAAAUAUUUUCCCUUUUGGCUGAAGGAGGCAGAAGGCGUGGGAGCUUAUAGAAUAUGGCAUGUGUAAAGCUGGUUUAAAUKUUUACAUCAGCUGUGAAUUUUACACAAUGCAUUUCAGCAGACCUGGAGAAAGGACCCAGAAGCCUUUGCCAUCUAUGCAGACCCACUAGGACAAGUCACAGCUCCUCCUGUGCCGAACUGUCCACACAUCAGAAGAGCUAAGGAGAUUUGAAGUAAAAAUGGAAGUAGAAUCAUGGUUGCUCUCUAAGAAAAUAGACCAGACACUGGAAGGGAUUUGCAAGUUGAGAUAGGAUCAUAAAGGUAAUAUUCUUCUAUAGAUGACUGCAGAAUUUUGAACUGGAGGCUUGUUUCAAUAUGAAACAAACUUCCAAAUAAAUACUAUAUUGAAAUA
rnacentral:lncRNA from 1 species